ACCGGCGCACGGGUGAGUAACGCGUAUCCAACCUGCCUAUAACUAGGGAAUAACCUUGCGAAAGUAAGACUAAUACCCUAUGAUUUCCUUUGAUGACAUCAGAUUAGGAAUAAAGAUUUAUCGGUUAUAGAUGAGGAUGCGUCUGAUUAGCUUGUUGGCGGGGUAACGGCUCACCAAGGCAACGAUCAGUAGGGGUUCUGAGAGGAAUGUCCCCCAUAUUGGAACUGAGACACGGUCCAAACUCCUACGGGAGGCAGCAGUGAGGAAUAUUGGUCAAUGGGCGGAAGCCUGAACCAGCCAAGUAGCGUGCAGGAUGACGGCCCUAUGGGUUAUAAACUGCUAUUAUACAGGAAUAAAGUUAGCCACGUGUGGUUAUUUGUAGGUACUGUAUGAAUAAGGACCGGCUAAUUCCGUGCCAGCAGCCGAGGUAAUACGGAAGGUCCAGGCGUUAACCGGAUUUAUUGGGUUUAAAGGGAGCGUAGGCCGUCUGUUAAGCGUGUUGUGAAACGUAGAUGCUCAACAUCUGAAUUGCAGCGCGAACUGGCAGACUUGAGUGUGCGCAACCGAGGCGGAAUUCGCGGUGUAGCGGUGAAACUGUUAGAUAUCACGAAGAACUCCGAUUGCGAAGGCAGCUUACGGGAGCACAACUGACGCUGAAGCUCGAAAGUGCGGGUAUCGAACAGGACUAGAUACCCUGGUAGUCCACACGGUAAACGAUGGAUGCCCGCUGUUGACCCACAUGGGCCAGCGGCCAAGCGAAAGCAUUAAGCAUCCCACCUGGGGAGUACGCCGGCAACGGUGAAACUCAAAGGAAUUGACGGGGGUCCGCACAAGCGGAGGAACAUGUGGUUUAAUUCGAUGAUACGCGAGGAACCUUACCCGGGCUUGAAUUGCAGAGGAAAGAUCCAGAGAUGGUGAUGCCCUUCGGGGCCUCUGUGAAGGUGCUGCAUGGUUGUCGUCAGCUCGUGCCGUGAGGUGUCGGCUUAAGUGCCAUAACGAGCGCAACCCCUUUCUUUAGUUGCCAUCAAGUAAUGCUGGGCACACUGGAGAUACUGCCACCGUAAGGUGUGAGGAAGGUGGGGAUGACGUCAAAUCAGCACGGCCCUUACGUCCGGGGCUACACACGUGUUACAAUGGCCGGUACAGAGAGAAGGUUGCUUGCAAAGGUAAUCAAAUCCUUAAAACCUGUCCCAGUUCGGACUGGGGUCUGCAACUCGACCCCACGAAGCUGGAUUCGCUA
rnacentral:rRNA from 1 species